UGUCAUCAGAAAUAGUACAACUCUGAUCUCUUCUUUAGUAAAUCCUGCACACAGCUCUCAAGUUCUACAGGCUACUUGGCCCUUAAUUGCCACUGACUCUGCAAAGCAAGAGAGCUGUGCAACUUGUAAAUCAGCAACCCCUCACUCCUCUGAGACCACCCGAAACCCCAGCCUUUGCGACAGACAGCAGCAGAGGCAGUGAAAGAACUAAAAGCCUCCCAGCUCCUGUUUCUGGAGAGGAGCCUGCUUCACACCAGGUUCUCAGAGGCACAGAAGCCACUGUUAAGCUCCUGCGGGAUCAUGUAAAGGUUCCGGAAAUAACUCUUCGGAGGCUCUGAAACCUCAGAGCCAUGAGGACCUUCACAAGAUCCCUUUACAAGGGUGGCUGUUGUAUCCCCCAUUCUCCAGAUGGGAAAACCGAGGUACUGAGAGGCAAAGUGACUUGUCCAGGGUCACAGAGGGGAGUUCAUGACAGAGGUGGGAAGGGAAUGUGAUGCUCCUGACUCCCGAUCUGCUGUUCUGCCAGCUGGAUCCUUAAUAACUGGCUCCAGCUCUGUUAGCCAAUCCCUGCACUGUCCUGUUGUAACCGGGCUCUCCUGCGCAGUGCAGCAAGGUGUGCGAGAUUACACUGCCCACGGGUGUGAUGCUGGCAUUCCACUGGGUCCGGCCCAUCUGCCUUUCCUGAAUUUUGGAUGGUACCAAUCAUCACCCCCGGCCGGAUAAAGCUGCUUUAGGCUGACUGGCUCCAUGUAAAGCUGCUUCCUUGCAGGGGCUGAACAACUGACUUGCUCAAGAGCAGAUGAGUUCUCAAUGAGGAGUUGAAGGGGGUGUGCUGCGGAUCCUUGCGCCAGGCUACACGAGGCUCUGCCCUGUGCAGCGCAUCUUGGCUACAAGCCAUUUGCAGAGGAAGACUCUCGGGCUGAGGAGCAUGCCGAGAGCUGCUAGCCGGGGGAGGGGGCCGUGCCAACAUGAGCACAGCAGAGACCCAACCCGUGGCAGCAUCAUGUCAUGUGAUGAGAGAGCACAGUGCCUCCCUGGGCAAGGAUCGCAAGGCAGGGAGUUGGGCAGAGUGGGCGGCGAGCUGGCCAGGUGCAGAUCUGGACUGUCUGCACCAUGUCAGAGCUGGGGAAUGUCUAGCUGUUCCUGCGUCCCUGCUCCCAGCUGCGGUGGGCAGUGCUGAAGUCCAGUGAACUCACCACCACCGAGCUGAUAGCAACGGUGUCGAAGUCCAAAGAAUUACGCUCCACCAUUUAACUAGUCUGGGGGCGGGGGGGUAAGGACCCUACCCCCACUGACAGCUCUCUCGAGUCCCCCAGCCGGACGGGCUCCUUGCCGCGAGCUGGAAAUGCUGCUGUGAGGUUCCUAGGAAAAGGGUUAUUUUUGCCAAGCUGCACUGUUUGCCAUGGAAUCGUUCCACAUCCCAGCCAUGGAAAGGAGCGGCAGAUAUCGCUUCCCAUUCGGGGUGGGCUGGCUGAGGGAGGAAAGCGGAGUCAAAAACAGAACAAUCCAUCAACGCAGGGCUGGGGAAAGAUGCUGACUUGACAGCCCUGGUGUCUGACAUCCUAUUUAUCCAGGGAACCGGCACAGUAUGGGCAAAAGCGCCGCAAGCUUCCCCCACAUUGCCCUCGGGGGCGGCAGCGCCAGUCAGUCCUGCCUCUCUGCUGAGGCUGCAGAUUGUGACUGUGGACGCCUAUCUGCUAGGCACUGACUUGAGACACCCCUUUAUUUCACCGAACAGCCAUGGGACCGUGGUUCAGAGAUUCCAAGGCCAGAAGGGACCAUUGUGAUCAUCUGGUCUGACCUCCCUGUGUAACGUAGGCCAGAGAACUGCCCCAAAUAAUUCCUAGAGCAGAUCCUAUAGA